UACGAAGGGGGCUAGCGUUGCUCGGAAUCACUGGGCGUAAAGGGCGCGUAGGCGGCUUCAAUAGUCAGGCGUGAAAUUCCCGGGCUCAACCCGGGGGCUGCGCUUGAUACGUUGGGGCUAGAGUGCAGGAGAGGGUCGUGGAAUUCCCAGUGUAGAGGUGAAAUUCGUAGAUAUUGGGAAGAACACCGGUGGCGAAGGCGGCGACCUGGCCUGUUACUGACGCUGAGGCGCGACAGCGUGGGGAGCAAACAGG
rnacentral:rRNA from 1 species